rfam:Nicotiana attenuata strain TT scaffold03559, whole genome shotgun sequence.
AAGCCAAUGAGGAAUUUAUUUAUAAAUAUAUUUGGAAUUACCGUCUGAACAUUUACAUUGAUGUUUGAUCGACUAUCUGAGGCUUCGC